rnacentral:lncRNA from 1 species
AGCAAGGGACAAAUAAUAAAAGAAUGUUGUCUAAGAAAAAGAAAACACUUGUAUGUUAGAUUCUACAAGAUGUUAGACUCUUGUUAGUAUGAAAAAAUACCUAAAAGACUCAAGUAUAAAAGAAUGCUUAAAAAAAGAAAGAAUUAGUAAAAGACUCAAUACCUAAAAGAUGUUAGUGAUCCUUGCUAUCACUUCGUGACAACAAUUUCAAGGGUGGAAAGAGUUAGUAAAGGAAGAUCAAGAAAAGACACUUAUCUUAUGAGACUUAACAGUAUGAUUCCAGUAAGCAGUUAAGAAAAGAUACCUAUCUUAGG